rnacentral:rRNA from 1 species
GACGAACGCUGGCGGCGUGCUUAACACAUGCAAGUCGAGCGGUAAGGCCCUUCGGGGUACACGAGCGGCGAACGGGUGAGUAACACGUGGGUGACCUGCCCUCAGCUCGUGGGAUAAGCCUGGGAAACCGGGUCUAAUACCGGAUAUGACUCCAUGACGCAUGUUGUGGGGUGGAAAGCCUUGUGCGGCUGAGGAUGGGCCCGCGGCCUAUCAG